AACCUACCUGAAUCUGGGGGAUAGCCCGCCGAAAGGCGGAUUAAUACCGCAUAAAACUGCAAUUCGGCAUCGGAUAACAGUUAAAGAUUUAUUGGAUUCAGAUGGGGUUGCGUGCCAUUAGCUAGUUGGAGAGGUAACGGCUCACCAAGGCGACGAUGGCUAGGGGAGCUGAGAGGCUGGUCCCCCACACGGGCACUGAGAUACGGGCCCGACUCCUAUGGGAGGCAGCAGUAGGGAAUAUUGGGCAAUGGUCGAGAGACUGACCCAGCCAUGCCGCGUGCAG
rnacentral:rRNA from 1 species